CUACGGGGGGCUCCAGUGAGGAAUAUUGCACAAUGGGGGGAACCCUGAUGCAGCAACGCCGCGUGGAGGAUGACGCAUUUCGGUGUGUAAACUCCUUUUAUAUGUCAAGAAAAUGACGGUAGCAUAUGAAUAAGCACCGGCUAACUCCGUGCCAGCAGCCGCGGUAAUACGGAGGGUGCAAGCGUUACUCGGAAUCACUGGACGUAAAGGACGCGUAGGCGGGUUGGAAAGUCAGGUGUGAAAUCCUACAGCGUAACUGUAGAACUGCACUUGAAACUUCUAAUCUAGAGUAUGGGAGGGGGAGAUGGAAUUAGUGGUGGAGGGGUAAAAUCCGUAGAUAUCACUAGGAAUACCUAAAGCGAAGGCGAUCUCCUGGAACAUUACUGACGCUAAGGCGUGAAAGCGUGGGGAGCAAACAGGAUUAGAUACCCGAGUAGUC
rnacentral:rRNA from 1 species